UACGUAGGGUGCGAGCGUUGCCCGGAUUUAUUGGGCGUAAAGGGCGCGUAGGCGGCUCGGCACGUCCGUUGUGAAAUCGCCCGGCUCAACUGGGCGGGGUCAGCGGAUACGGUCGAGCUUGAGCAAGCUAGGGGGUAAUGGAAUUCCCGGUGUAGUGGUGGAAUGCGUAGAUAUCGGGAGGAACACCAGUGGCGAAGGCGGUUACCUGGGGCUUUGCUGACGCUGAGGAGCAAAAGCGUGGGGAGCGAACAGG
rnacentral:rRNA from 1 species